GAUGAACGCUGGCGGCGUGCCUAAUACAUGCAAGUCGAGCGAACAGACGAGGAGCUUGCUCCUCUGACGUUAGCGGCGGACGGGUGAGUAACACGUGGAUAACCUACCUAUAAGCCUGGGAUAACUUCGGGAAACCGGAGCUAAUACCGGAUAAUAUAUUGAACCGUAUGGUUCAAUAGUGAAAGACGGUUUUGCUUUCACUUAUAGAUGGCUCCGCUCCGCAUUAGCUAGUUGUUAAGGUAACGGCCUACCAAGGCAACGAUGCGUAGCCGACCUGAGAGGGUGAUCGGCCACACGGGAGCGGAGACAGGCUCAAGACUCCUAAGGGAGGAAGCAGAAGGGAAUCUCCCGCAAUGGGCGAAAGCUUGACGGAGAAACGCCGCGUGAGUGAUGAAGGUCUUCGGAUCGUAAAACUCUGUUAUUAGGGAAGAACAAAUGUGUAAGUAACUAUGCACGUAUUGACGGUACCUAAUCAGAAAGCCACGGCUAACUACGUG
rnacentral:rRNA from 1 species